AUGUGUUGUGAGCUCGAUGAGUAGGGCGGGACACGUGGUAUCCUGUCUGAAUAUGGGGGGACCAUCCUCCAAGGCUAAAUACUCCUGACUGACCGAUAGUGAACCAGUACCGUGAGGGAAAGGCGAAAAGAACCCCGGCGAGGGGAGUGAAAAAGAACCUGAAACCGUGUACGUACAAGCAGUGGGAGCCC
rnacentral:rRNA from 1 species